rnacentral:rRNA from 1 species
CGUGCGCCUAAACUGNCAGUCGAACGAGUAUUUUUGAUGCUUGCANUAACCGGAAAGCGGCNAACGGGUGAGUAACACGUUGGUAUCUGCCCCCAAGUCAGGGAUAGCCAUUGGAAACGAUGAUUAAUACCGGAUAGUCUCUUUCGAGAGUAAAGAUUUAUUGCUUGGGGAGGAACCUGCGGUCUAUCAGCUAGUUGGUGUGGUAAAAGCACACCAAGGCUAUGACGGAUAUCUGGUCUGAGAGGAUGACCANACACAAUGGAACUGAGACACGGUCCAUACUCCUACGGGAGGCANCANUGAGGAAUCUUCCACAAUGGACGAAAGUCUGAUGGAGCGACACCGCGUGAAGGAUGACGGCCUAACGGUUGUAAACUUCUUUUCUGAAGGAGCAUAAUGAGAGUACUUCAGGAACAAGGGACGGCUAAAUAUGUGCCAGCAGCCGCGGUAAUACAUAUGUCCCGAGUGUUACCCGGAAUAAUUGGGUGUAAAGGGUUCGUAGGCGGAUAAGAAAGUUGGAUAUGAAAGACCGAAGCUCAACUUCGUGUUUGUAUCCAAAACUCCUUGUCUAGAAUUAGGGAGAGGUAAGCGNAAUUCUAAGUGUAGGGGUGCAAUCCGUANAUACUUAGAGGA